UACAGGGGGGGCAAGCGUUGUUCGGAAUUACUGGGCGUAAAGGGCUCGUAGGUGGCCAACUAAGUCAGACGUGAAAUCCCUCAGCUUAACUGGGGAACUGCGUCUGAUACUGGAUGGCUUGAGUUUGGGAGAGGGAUGCGGAAUUCCAGGUGUAGCGGUGAAAUGCGUAGAUAUCUGGAGGAACACCGGUGGCGAAGGCGGCUUCCUGGACCAACACUGACACUGAGGAGCGAAAGCCAGGGGAGCAAACGGG
rnacentral:rRNA from 1 species